rnacentral:lncRNA from 1 species
CUUACAACUGUACUUUUUCCUGGCGCUAUGGUGAACUGCGCGGUGUAUGGGUGCAGUGCCCACUCGCGGAAAAGUGCGAAGGACGAAAACGUGGCGGAGGUUGGUUUUUUUCACAUUCCAUAAGUGAUCACGCAUCAGUGCGCACGGACAAAUGAAGUGUCAACACGGAGGAGGGCGGAAUAGUUUUCUCGUAUUAACCGCAAGAAUAUGGACCGCAGUGCGAACCACUACAGAGUCUGCGGGAAGCAUUUCAUUUCAGGCACACGAGGAAAAGGCGCCGAGCGGAGCGAUCGGGAAGUCUCCUAAAGCAGCUGCAUGAGAAUGCACACGAAGGAAGCAGUGCUGUGCCGGAUUCACCAGUGACCUCCGAAGACGAUUAACCGCUUUUUGAUGAUGAUCCUGAUAUUCAGGAGACUCCUGAUCAAGAAUGCACUGAUGGAGGGAAGGCUGACUUUUCACAUGUUACUGACUUGACAAUGGAGCAAAUUGAGCAUCUUGAGAACGAGAAUUGGCACCUGCUCUCAGAGGUCGGGGAAGUGCGAAACAAACUGAACAUGCAAA